CCUUACCGUCAUUGAGAACCAUUCAUAUCCGGGAUUUGUUUCCCAAAGAGAACUGGGUUUGUUCUAAUUAAGGUGAAUUUUUCAGACAUGCAUCUUGGGUCAGUGCCGGUUAUAAUCCUUUCUUUAAUUAUGCUUGACUUUACAACACAAGCUAAUUAUAUACGAACAUCUGUUUGUGAAGAAGAAAAACAAACUGCAGUUAAAGAAGCAGAAGUGAAGUGCGAAGCAGAGAAACAGGCACUGAAGGAUGACGUAACCAGAAUGGCGGCUAACAAGCAGAGGAUACUUGCACGCCAACUAGCAGAUUGUCUUCAACUAGAUUCCUCCAGUUGUUCUACCGAAUCGAACUGUUUUUGGGACUCGAUUGUCAACACUUGCAUUCCAAGAGAAUUAGCUUUGUAAAGAGUCCACAAGAUACCCGAUCCGUAGCUUGGCUGGAAAUUUGGAAUGCUUUCAGUGUUUAAAAAAAAAAAUGUACAUGGAUUUUAAAAUGUUCUAUACAAUAAAUCAGUAGUUUUUCGUGCGACUA